CCUACGGGCGGCAGCAGUGAGGAAUAUUGGUCAAUGGACGAGAGUCUGAACCAGCCAAGUAGCGUGAAGGAUGACUGCCCUAUGGGUUGUAAACUUCUUUUAUAUGGGAAUAAAAUGUUCCACGUGUGGGAUUUUGUAUGUACCAUAUGAAUAAGGAUCGGCUAACUCCGUGCCAGCAGCCGCGGUAAUACGGAGGAUCCGAGCGUUAUCCGGAUUUAUUGGGUUUAAAGGGAGCGUAGGUGGAUUGUUAAGUCAGUUGUGAAAGUUUGCGGCUCAACCGUAAAAUUGCAGUUGAAACUGGCAGUCUGGAGUACAGUAGAGGUGGGCGGAAUUCGUGGUGUAGCGGUGAAAUGCUUAGAUAUAACGAAGAACUCCGAUUGCGAAGGCAGCUCACUGGACUGCAACUGACACUGAGGCUCGAAAGUGUGGGUAUCAAACAGGAUUAGAUACCCCAGUAGUC
rnacentral:rRNA from 1 species